rnacentral:lncRNA from 1 species
GUUGUAAAAAAACAAACCAGGUUAUUGUGGUCACCAUAGACCACGUCUAUCCCCAAUCGUGUCGCCUCACGCCGUGCUACUAAGAACUCGCUAUCAUGCUAAUUGAUUAAAAACAGAAGACAUAACAAUUAAUAGUCAAUUUUUUUGUCAAAAAAAAUAAAUUUAAAAAUAAAUUAAUAGUCAUAUUUAAUAUUAUAAAAUAUUCACAUUUUCAGGCUUGUGCAAAAGGCAUGCCCUGAGAGCAUCAAUCUCCAGAAAUACCGUGUCGGGCCUCAGAAUCUCCACUAGUGUUUCAACAUCUUUUCUCGAUUCCUAAGAUCAUAAUUCAUAAAUAAUUCAUUUUUAUGUUAAAAAAUUAUAAAUUUUUAUCGGAGAUGUUCUUAUAAUAUUAUAAACAUUAAUACAAAAGAUCAUUAAAAAAUGUGAAAGUAUACAAUAGUUUGAUUAAAAGUAGGUACUAAAAAUUUUGACGGAAAAAUUUCAGGGACUAAAAAGUGUGAAAAAAUCUUCAGAGACUAAAACGAAAAUUCUGAAAAACUAUAGGGACAAAAGACAUAUUUAACCCUAAUUAAAAAAAUGAGUAAUUACGGCCGUGAGAAUGUCAUCUCAUGUAUGCCAAGUGUAUUUUGCCAUGUGUCUGUGCCAUAUUAGAUUCAACACAUACCUCCGACCUAUGCCUUACUCCGAGAAGAAACACCCUCGAACGGUCGCCUCCAACGGUCCUUCGACAUAGGACCUCCAUUUUCCCUCUCUUCAUAAGUGAAAUACAAAAAUUCUUCAACAUAACUGUGUACAUUAAAGCAAAUACUUAUGUAAUUAAAAUCAAAAUUAAAAACAAAACAAACCCACUGGGGGUACAUUACAGAAACAGAAGGUAAGGAAAGUAAAAGAAGGAAAUCUAGGCUCAAGGUCCAAUUCUGCAAGCAGAAAAAAAACACAAAAAAAAGAAAAAGAAAAAGGAACUCUGGGAUCUCUCUAAGCCCAAGAUCCAAGGUAUGCAGAACCAAGAUCUCUCUAAGCCCAAGAUCCAAGGUAUGCAGAACCGAGAUCUCUCUAAGCCCAAGGCCCAGUUCUGCUAAAGUUCAAAUAACAAAUAAUAAUCCUGC